GAUCCUGGCUCAGGACGAACGCUGGCGGCGUGCUUAACACAUGCAAGUCGAACGAGAAUCUGCGGAAAGAGGAUUCGUCCAAUUGAAGCAGAGGACAGUGGCGGACGGGUGAGUAACGCGUGAGGAACCUGCCUUUCAGAGGGGGACGAACAGUUGGAACGACUGCUAAUACCGCAUGACACAUAGGUGUCGCAUGGCACUUAUGUCAAGAUUUAUCGCUGAAAGAUGG
rnacentral:rRNA from 1 species